GACGAACGCUGGCGGCGUGCUUAACACAUGCAAGUCGAACGGUGAAGGGACUGGUUUUGCUGGUCCUGGAUGAGUGGCGAACGGGUGAGUAACACGUGAGUAACCUUCCCCCUUCUUCUGGAUAACCGCAUGAAAGUGUGGCUAAUACGGGAUAUUCUGGGUCUGUCGCAUGGUGGGCCUGGGAAAGAUUGCGCCUUUUUUGGUGUUUUUGGUGGGGGAUGGGCUCGCGGCCUAUCAGCUUGUUGGUGGGGUGAUGGCCUACCAAGGCGGUGACGGGUAGCCGGCCUGAGAGGGUGGACGGUCACACUGGGACUGAGACACGGCCCAGACUCCUACGGGAGGCAGCAGUGGGGAAUAUUGCACAAUGGGCGCAAGCCUGAUGCAGCGACGCCGCGUGAGGGAUGGAGGCCUUCGGGUUGUGAACCUCUUUCGCCAGUGAAACAGGCCUGCCUCUUUUUGUGGGUGGGUUGACGGUAGCUGGAGAAGAAGCGCCGGCUAACUACGUG
rnacentral:rRNA from 1 species